GAUGAAGAACGCAGCGAAAUGCGAUAAGUAAUGUGAAUUGCAGAAUUCAGUGAAUCAUCGAAUCUUUGAACGCACAUUGCGCCCCCUGGUAUUCCGGGGGGCAUGCCUGUCCGAGCGUCAUUACAACCCUCAAGCUCAGCUUGGUGUUGGGCCCCGCCGUCCCGGCGGGCCCUAAAGUCAGUGGCGGUGCCGUCCGGCUCCGAGCGUAGUAAUUCUUCUCGCUCUGGAGGUCCGGUCGUGUGCUCGCCAGCAACCCCCAAUUUUUUCAGGUUGACCUCGGAUCAGGUAGGAUACCCGCUGAACUUAAGCAUAUCAAUAAGCGGAGGA
rnacentral:misc_RNA from 1 species